UAGAAGACAGAACAGAGGAGGAAAUAACUCUGGAAAGAUUGUUCCAGUGUAUAAUAUCAAACUAUAUUUCUGGAUGUAGUUAGUUUUGGGUGUCUGUUUGAGAAGCGAAGCUGCGAGGCCACAGCUGGUUGUGUUUAGACUGUUUGUCAAGGGCGGCGCUGCGGUCGACGAAGGCCGAGCGACAGACAGGAGACGCACAGAGCGGCAGAUAUUUUACACCCAAGCAGCAUUCAACAGUCAUAUUUGUAUCAAUCUUGUUCACUUCCUUUCAACUGGGCAUGAAGACAGAAGAGGAGAUAGCUUCAUCCUGACUCCUGUGUUUUCUGUGAGGCGUCUCUUCACGGUUACAUAAACAGCAUCUGAGCUGGCCAGCCACAUCCUCCCCAUUGGAUUCCAUUAGAUCUGCUCAUAAUGGCUGCGGUGCGGCUGUUCUGCUCCGGGGUGGAGGUCCCGCUCCCUUCCUCUCCUGCUGUUUGUCUUUUCUCUGAGCUGGUGAGGCUGGACUGAAGGGUCUGCUGAGCCGGCUCUCCUUCAAGUGGCUGCAGAGGAAUGAGAGUCGCCACCGCAGCAGAAGGACCUGCAGAAAUAAGUGUUAGAAAACAACACCAGCCAUGCUCAACCAUCUCUGAGUUUGCACUCAUGUGAUUUCACAUGCAUUUUUUUAUUUUAUUUUUUUUCCUUGUACCAACUACACUGAAAAAACGCAACAUAUGUGUCUUCGUACACUUGAACUAAGACAAAACUAACU